GCCGCCAUCGUCUAGUGGCCUAGGACACAGGAUUUUCAUUCCUGGAAUCGCGGGUUCGACUCCCGCUGGCGGUA
rnacentral:tRNA from 4 species